GGGAGAUGAAAGUCUCCACCUCCUGUGUCGUCGAACAUCGUCGAACAUCGUCGAACA
rnacentral:misc_RNA from 1 species